GGGGAUUUAGCUCAGUGGUAGAGCGCUUGCCUACGGAGCACAAGGCCCUGGGUUCGGUCCCCAGCUCCA
rnacentral:tRNA from 1 species